rnacentral:lncRNA from 1 species
CAUAUCGGGGUUCAUUUGUGACAGUUGUCAUUCACUUGGGGUUCAUAUUGGGGUUCAUCUUCGGGGUUCAUUUAUGACGGUUGUCAUUCACUUGGGGUUCAUCUUUGGGGUUCAUCCUUGGGGUUCAUUUGUGACGUUUGUGGUGAUUAUUCACUUGGGGUUCAUCUUUGGGGUUCAUCUUUGGAUAUUUGGUUAAUUUGUUGGGGUUCAUUCUGAUAACCUUUUUCUUUGGUGUUCGCUGGUUAGCGUUUGUUGUUGUUAGGAGUCGGAUGUAAGUCCAUGUAUUGGCAUUUUGUUUCCUUUUGUUUUGUUAUUGUUAGGAGUCGGAUAUAAGUCCAUGUAUUGGCAUUCUGUUUCCUGUUUUUUGUUAUUGUUAGGAGUCGGGUGUAAGUCCAUGUAUUAGAAUUUUGUUUCCUUGUUUGUUG